rnacentral:rRNA from 1 species
AUUGAACGCUAGCGGGAUGCCUUACACAUGCAAGUCGAACGGCAGCAUAAGAGAGCUUGCUCUCUUGAUGGCGAGUGGCGAACGGGUGAGUAAUGUAUCGGAACGUGCCCAGUAGCGGGGGAUAACUACGCGAAAGCGUAGCUAAUACCGCAUACGCCCUACGGGGAAAGGAGGGGAUCCGCAAGGACCUUUCACUAUUGGAGCGGCCGAUAUCGGAUUAGCUAGUUGGUGAGGUAACGGCCCACCAAGGCGACGAUCAGUAGCCGGACUGAGAGGUUGAACGGCCACAUUGGGACUGAGACACGGCCCAG